AUUGAACGCUGGCGGCAGGCCUAACACAUGCAAGUCGAGCGGAUGAAGGGAGCUUGCUCCUGGAUUCAGCGGCGGACGGGUGAGUAAUGCCUAGGAAUCUGCCUGGUAGUGGGGGAUAACGUCCGGAAACGGGCGCUAAUACCGCAUACGUCCUGAGGGAGAAAGUGGGGGAUCUUCGGACCUCACGCUAUCAGAUGAGCCUAGGUCGGAUUAGCUAGUUGGUGGGGUAAAGGCCUACCAAGGCGACGAUCCGUAACUGGUCUGAGAGGAUGAUCAGUCACACUGGCACUGAGACACGGUCCAGACUCCUGCGGGAGGCAGCAGUGGGGAAUAUUGGACCAUGGGCGAAAGCCUGAUACAGCCAUGCCGCGUGUGUGAAGAAGGUCUUCGGAUUGUAAAGCACUUUAAGUUGGGAGGAAGGGCAGUAAGUUAAUACCUUGCUGUUUUGACGUUACCAACAGAAUAAGCACCGGCUAACUUCGUG
rnacentral:rRNA from 1 species